rnacentral:rRNA from 1 species
UACAGGGGGUGCAAACGUUGCUCGGAAUCAUUGGGCGUAAAGCGCACGUAGGCGGUGUCGUAAGUCGGGUGUGAAAUCCCUCGGCCUAACCGAGGAACUGCGCCCGAUACUGCGAUGCUUGAGGACCAGAGGGGUGCAUGGAAUUUCCGGUGGAGCGGUGAAAUGCGUUGAUAUCGGAAGGAACUCCGGCGGCGAAAGCGAUGCACUGGCUGGUUUCUGACGCUGAGGUGCGAAAGCCAGGGGAGCAAACGGG